GAUGAAGAACGCAGCGAAAUGCGAUACGUAAUGUGAAUUGCAAAUUCAGUGAAUCAUCGAAUCUUUGAACGCACAUUGCGCCCGCCAGUAUUCUGGCGGGCAUGCCUGUUCGAGCGUCAUUACAACCCUCAGGCCCCCGGGCCUGGCGUUGGGGAUCGGCGGAGCCCCCCGUGGGCACACGCCGUCCCCCAAAUACAGUGGCGGUCCCGCCGCAGCUUCCAUCGCGUAGUAGCUAACACCUCGCGACUGGAGAGCGGCGCGGCCACGCCGUAAAACACCCAACUCUUCUGAAGUUGACCUCGAAUCAGGUAGGAAUACCCGCUGAACUUAAGCAUAUCAAUAAGCGGAGGA
rnacentral:misc_RNA from 1 species